UUUCCGUAGGUGAACCUGCGGAAGGAUCAUUAAUGUGUUUGGGCCUCACGGCUCUUCAUUCCGACGCUGUGCGCCUUCGGGCUGCACGCUGAGGGAGCAUAUAUCCACCCCUGUGCACACACACGGUGGCGAGCUGGGUAACGGCUCGCCGCUGAUCUUUACACACGUCUAAAAGUCAUUGUAUGUUUAUUUGAGAUAGAAACACAACUUUCAGCAACGGAUCUCUUGGCUCUC
rnacentral:misc_RNA from 1 species